GGCCCUAUAGCUCAGUUGGUUAGAGCGCACGACUCAUAAUCGUUAGGUCUCUGGUUCGAGUCCAGAUGGGGCCACCA
rnacentral:tRNA from 1 species